GAGAAGAACGUAGCGAAAUGCGAUAAGUAAUGUGAAUUGCAGAAUUCAGUGAAUCAUCGAAUCUUUGAACGCACAUUGCGCCCCUUGGUAUUCCGAGGGGCAUGCCUGUUCGAGCGUCAUUAUCACCCCUCAAGCUUUGCUUGGUGUUGGGGCCUGCUGUAAUAGGCAGCCCUUAAAAUCAGUGGCGGUGCUUCAAGGCUCUAAGCGUAGUAAUUCUCCUCGCUAUAGUGUCUAGUGGUUGCCAGCCAGAACCCCCCAAUUUUCAUGAUUGACCUCGGAGCAGGUAGGGAUACCCGCUGAACUUAAGCAUAUCAAUAAGCGGAGGA
rnacentral:misc_RNA from 1 species